GUCUACGGUCAUACCACCCUGAACGCACCCGAUCUCGGAAGCUAAGCAGGGUCAGGCCUGGUUAGUACUUGGAUGGGAGAAAGGAAACCAUGAAACUAGGUU
ensembl:rRNA 5S_rRNA 5S ribosomal RNA